rfam:Schistosoma rodhaini strain Burundi genome assembly, scaffold: SROB_scaffold0000963
AUCUAGUUGACCAGUCCCGAAUAGGACGAAACGCGUGUCCUGGAU